rnacentral:misc_RNA from 1 species
UGGACACUUCUAUAUGUGAAGAGGACCAACACUAGUUACUAUGCAAUUGCUGUGGGUUAUUUAACAUGCAGAUCACCGACUGCUUGGAAGUGAUUUAUUUUGAGGUUUAAUGGAACUUGAGUAGUGCCUUUAUAUAGUUUUUUUUUAUUUUUCACUCUAUUAUUUCACCUCAGUUGCAGNNNNNNNNNNNCAUGCUGUUGGAGAUCGAAUCGAUGCUGGGGUUAUCCUAAUCAUAAUUUUGGGAUCAGUGUAAUGCUCCAGCAGUCCGGGAGCACUGUAGAAUUUAGAAGCUUUGACCUCGUUAUAUUUUAAAAUUUGCCAUAUGAGCUUUGUUGUAAAGUACUUGUGGUAAUUACUAA